AGUGAACGCUGGCGGUAGGCCUAACACAUGCAAGUCGAACGGCAGCACAGUAAGAGCUUGCUCUUACGGGUGGCGAGUGGCGGACGGGUGAGGAGUACAUCGGAAUCUACUUUUUCGUGGGGGAUAACGUAGGGAAACUUACGCUAAUACCGCAUACGACCUACGGGUGAAAGCAGGGGAUCUUCGGACCUUGCGCGAUUGAAUGAGCCGAUGUCGGAUUAGCUAGUUGGCGGGGUAAAGGCCCACCAAGGCGACGAUCCGUAGCUGGUCUGAGAGGAUGAUCAGCCACACGGGAAAUGAGACACGGUCCAGACCCCCACGGGGGGCAAGAGGGGGGAAUAUUGGAAAAUGGGCGCAAGCCUGACCCCGCCAACCCGCGUGGGUGAAGAAGGCCUUCGGGUUGUAAACCCUUUUUGUUGGGAAAAAAAAGCAGCAGGUUAAUACCCCGCUGUUCUGACGGGACCAAAAGAAUAAGCACCGCCAAACUUCGG
rnacentral:rRNA from 1 species